rnacentral:rRNA from 1 species
UAUGGAGGGUGCAAGCGUUGUCCGGAAUCACUGGGCGUAAAGGGCGCGUAGGCGGCUCAUGAAGGCUGUGGUGAAAGUCCGGGGCUCAACCUCGGAUCGGCCGUGGCGACUCGUGGGCUGGAGCACUGUAGAGGCGGGUGGAAUUCCGGGUGUAGCGGUGGAAUGCGUAGAGAUCCGGAAGAACACCAGUGGCGAAGGCGGCCCGCUGGGCAGUGGCUGACGCUGAGGCGCGACAGCGUGGGGAGCAAACAGG